UAAGGAAAGACAAUGAAAAAGGGUUGCAGUCUGACUAACCUCCACAUAACCCCGGGGAAUGAUGUCUGGAGUUUCAUGGACUGACUCAACCAUCAGUUAUGUGUGCAACUUUCUGCUUUCCUCUAGCAACUGGACAAGAGAAGUAGAAAUUCGCCUGCCCAUUGACGUUGCAGCUAUAAACACAGAAGAGUAGUGUAUAAAAGCAGCAACAAGAGUGAGAGCAUCUUAAUAAUGCCUCGCAGAAGUUUAUGGGGCUGCCCUCUUUGAGACACAUGGUCAGUUGCCUUAGUUUUCUCGACAUUCCAUGCUUAUCUAUCAACUUCCCAGAAGUAUAAUAUUUUAAGUAGAAAUAGUUCAGUCCUGGUGAGCUAUUCUGGGAGAAAGAGGACAAGCUGCUUGUUCUCAGUGCAAUGCACCCUCUUGCUUCUCUGUCGUGGCCCCAUGGUCGUCUAGGUGUGGGAACGAGGGAAAUAAGAAAGGGUUACAUUUUGCUUACUGAACACCAGCAAGAUAAACACUUCCAAGGCCUCGCUUCUGUUAUUUGUUGCUGUCAGCAGCCUUCUGAGAUGGCACACCAUGAUACCUGCUCCCUCAUCUUCACGCCUUGCUUAAUCACAUCCUGUUGAGAGUGGGCUGGAAAGAGCAAGUGGCUUCUGAGGAAUGGAGCACUGCCAAGUGUUGGGAUGACGCUACUGAGACUAAGCCACAAAGACUCUAACUUUAUGGUCUUCUUUCUCUUUCUGGGCCUCCUCACCUGUUUUCAUGAAGGAAGUUGUGAGCUGCCCCAUGGAGAGGCCUAUAUGACAGAGAACUGGUCAACAGCCAACAAAGAAUGGAGGGCCUCCGUGCAGCAGCCCAUGAGGAUCUGAAUCCCACCAAUCACCUUGCAAGGGAGCUUGGAAAAGGAUCCACCUAGGCUUGACACGACUGAUGUCCCGGCUGACUACAGGCUCAUAAGAGGGCUCAGCUAAGCAAUGCCAAAAUUCCUCACCCACAGAAACUGUGAGCCUUGUGAAGAAGGUGCCUUGCUUCCCUUUCACCUUCCAC
rnacentral:lncRNA from 1 species